rnacentral:rRNA from 1 species
GGUUAAGCGACUAAGCGUACACGGUGGAUGCCCUGGCAGUCAGAGGCGAUGAAGGACGUGCUAAUCUGCGAAAAGCGUCGGUAAGGUGAUAUGAACCGUUACAGCCGGCGAUGUCCGAAUGGGGAAACCCAGUGUGAUUCGUCACACUAUCGUUAACUGAAUACAUAGGUUAACGAGGCGAACCGGGGGAACUGAAACAUCUAAGUACCCCGAGGAAAAGA